CGUGUGGUGUCUGGCGGCAACAGGGCUGGAUAGCGACACGGCCUUAAACAGAGGU
ncrna:Photorhabdus asymbiotica L31-Gammaproteobacteria ribosomal protein leader